AGUAAUUAUUCUUUUUUCGGCUUCUGUCGUGGCGUGCAACCUCUUUGACAGGACCUACGACUUACAACGACUAGACAUCACUGACAUCACUCAAGUAUGAUGCUAAAUAUAGACCACUGAAGUAUGAAUAGACUAAGACAGAGACUUGUCAGGUGAUUCGAAAAGAAACCAAAGAAAAGAAACAGAACGAAGACAAAUGUGACUGAAGGCAGUUUGUCCAAGAAUAAUGUUUAAAAACACCGAAGUUGGAGGCUGCUAAUGUUGAAUAAAUUAGAGGGCCGCCUCCGAGACGUCACCGUCAAAAUUCAUUAAUCACUCGAAUGCUUACCAAGCGAUAAAAUAGCAAACCAAUCCAGCCAGGCAACCUGUGAGUGCAAUUAAACAUUACUAGAGGUCCCGCAGUAGUCGAAAUUCGUCUAUAAUUAAUUGGAAUUGUAAGUUUGUACACUAUUUGAUUGUAUUUUAUACUUCUAUAAUCACAAAUUUCGCCAUGACUACACUAUAAAAAAUAUUAACAAAGACAAACAAUAUUUAAUCUAUUCUCAAUUUGACAACAGACGUCAAGAACAAAAGUUUGACAAUAAAUAGUAUGCAUGCGUGUGUGCGUCAAAUACAUGGUAUGUAGUGUGUGUAAUGUUUUCUUUAUUGAUUUAAUGUAUCUUUUAUGCAUUAUUUUUAAAAAAUAUUAGCAUUGUGCACUUCUUCUCUAUAUUCUCUAUAAGCGUGGAAAAUUUCAUACUCCUCCGUCCGCGCAAUUUUCGUAAAAAGGGGUACAAAGUUUUUGCUUCACGUAUUAUUAAACAUUAUAUCACAACAUAUUGAAGUGUAUGUAAUUUUUCGGCACAAUCGAAACGCGCAAUAGGAUCGAGUCUUAUCGACAUAAUUACUUCAGUGUACGCCGUGUAGGACACCAGUGCCUGGCAGUUAAAGGGUUAAGCGGAAUGACGCUUAGACCGAAUGGCGUUGAGGGUUCGGUAAGAUAUCCAUCUUGCCUAGCUAUGUAGGUCUGCAGCCAGUCCGGAUUAUUUAUUGCCGCGCAAAAUAUGGUGAACGCUACUACUUCAUUACGUGUGACGUCAUUUGGAGCCAAAACGAACGGCCUAACCAUAGAUUAUACACUGACAUAUAAAAAUUACUCACAUGACAUCAUAACUUCUAAUUGCUGUUUCGCUUGACGUCAAAAGCGGAUAAAAUGUAAACAUUUUUAGAUUUCAUGUAGUGAUUCAGGACAUUAAUCAUUAUUAUUUCCCUAAAAUAGUGAUUGAGUGAUGGUUUUAAUCUUUAUAUAUAUAAUUCUACGGCCCGCCCCCUGCGAGACCCUCCGAGAUCGGAGAUCGAGCCACUUUGUAUAGCGGUGACUGCGUUGAGGUGUGGGUGUGAGGACAACGUGGAUGUCGAUGUUGAGAGUCCACUGGUGCUGCAGGAAUCCAAUGGUUCAAUCGCAGGCUGCCAGUAUAUUAAUUUCGUCGUUUAAUUGCAAGAGAAAGAUCUUCAGCCAAUCCAAUGUGUCCUCGAUAUACCACUCGGCCGGAAUGCUAUGAUUUAGAAAAGCAUUUUAGAAAAACCUUAAACUUAUUGCUCAAUGGUGCACUCGUGUCUCUUCCAUUAGUCGGCAGAUGUCGCUACAGCAAACAUCAAUCUCAGGGAAACAUAGCAUUAACUAGUCAUGCCAGUAACGGAUAACUUGAUAAAUAUAAUAAUAAAUGAAACAAAAUCGGAGGCGAAUAUCGAACUUCAGUCAUGAAAUAGAAGGAAAUUCUAUUAAGAUUCAUGGUUCGACGUUUGAAGAGUAAUGCAAAGUGAUUCUCUAGAACGAAUGUAGUCGGGGAUCAUCUUAUUCAAAACACUUACAUUUUAUGUCUAAGGCGGGUGGAAGGUAUUGAAUGUGUCCUGGUUACAAAUGUACAUACGUAAUAUGAGGGAAACCCACUUUACAUUAUCCAAAGUUUCGAACACGUUAUUGUUAUCUCGGUAACCGAUAAAUGAUCAGCCCACUGAGUUUCUCGCCGGAUAUUCUCAGUGGGUCGCGGUUCCGAUCCGGUGGUAAAUUCUGUGUAGCACUGCUCUUACUUUUUUUAUUUUUUUUUAUUGCUUAGAUGGAUGGACGAGCUCACAGCCCACCUGGUGUUAAGUGGUUACUGGAGCCCAUAGACAUCUACAACGUAAAUGCGCCACCCACCUCGAGAUAUAAGUUACAAGGUCUCAGUAUAGUUACAACGGCUACCCCACCCUUCGAACCGAAACGCAUUACUGCUUCACGGCGGAAAUAGGCGGGGUGGUGGUACAUACCCGUGCGGACUCCCAAGAGGUCCUACCACCAGUGAUUACGCAAAUUAUAAUUUUGCGGGUUUGGUUUUUAUUACACGAUGUUAUUCCUUCACCAUGGAAGUCAAUCGUGAACAUUUGUUGAGUACGUAUUUCAUUAGAAAAAUUGGUACCCGCCUGCGGGAUUCGAACACCGGUGCAUCGCUUCAUACGAAUGCACCGGACGUCUUAUCCUUUAGGCCACGACGACUCCUAAACUUCGACUUCUACUGGGGCUGGUGUUAGCAAAUUCUCUUAGGUUGAGCCCAUGAGCUCACCCACCCGUCCGGGCUUAGCUGGAAUAGACUCCUAGGCUACUAGCGAAUAAGAAGGGGAAAAGAAAAAUGAUUCCACUAUAAGUUAAUUGUCGGUCAAUCAUUAAGUCAUUUUUGUUUCUAAGACCGAAUCAAUCGUAGUGAUGAAACCUAGUGCAAAAAGCAAAUACUGUGCGAGUAAAAUAUCUAUAGACAUUAUAUUAUAGAUUAUUGUCUUUGCCGAAUUUUUUUUUUUAAUUUAUAUGUAUACUAAGUAUAAUAUUAUUUAGAGGUAUAAAAAAGGUGUAUAUAAAACAAAUGAUAAUAUGGACUUUGGAACAA